AGUAGGGAAUCUUCGGCAAUGGGGGCAACCCUGACCGAGCAACGCCGCGUGAGUGAAGAAGGUUUUCGGAUCGUAAAACUCUGUUGUAAGUCAAGAACGAGUGUGAGAGUGGAAAGUUCACACUGUGACGGUAGCUUACCAGAAAGGGACGGCUAACUACGUGCCAGCAGCCGCGGUAAUACGUAGGUCCCGAGCGUUGUCCGGAUUUAUUGGGCGUAAAGCGAGCGCAGGCGGUUUGAUAAGUCUGAAGUUAAAGGCUGUGGCUCAACCAUAGUUCGCUUUGGAAACUGUCAAACUUGAGUGCAGAAGGGGAGAGUGGAAUUCCAUGUGUAGCGGUGAAAUGCGUAGAUAUAUGGAGGAACACCGGUGGCGAAAGCGGCUCUCUGGUCUGUAACUGACGCUGAGGCUCGAAAGCGUGGGGAGCGAA
rnacentral:rRNA from 1 species